CUUUCCUACAAGGGGUAUGACACUGUGGUGACACAUUGACUGUGUCAUAUCCUGGGUGCAACUGAAAACAAGUAACAGUUUAUUACAGUGAAUCAGGAAUGGAAACCCAUUGAGGCAGUUCAAGCGCUGAAGGAGAUGACAAAGUAAAAAGGACAGAAGAGAGAGAGAGAGAAUAAAACAGAAAACAAGAAGAAAUCUCAUUAUAGCAACCCUAGAAAUCGAGUGGAAGCAUCAGUGCACAGACUACUCCUCUUGUAUGUGCAGAAAUGCUUCUGCUACAUUGCUAGGGGCUUAGUCAUUGGAGCCUGGAAAUCGAAGAAGAAAUCAAUCUGACAAAUUUCUGAAGCUAUGUGGAAAGAGAAAAAGUAUUUAUAAAUGUAAAAGGCGCAAACAAUAUUUGAUUCUGACUCUGUGAUGGGAUUUUGCCUCGUCUGAUUUACUGUAAUAAAAUUUCUCUGUCAUGAA